rnacentral:misc_RNA from 1 species
UGAGUAUCCAAUUAGUGCACUGUUGAAAAACCUUGAAGGAUGAAAGUACUGAAAAAAAACCCCCAUGAUUUUAAGUGCUAUUAUGUAACAAUAAAAAGAAAACCACAAUGAUAAACCAGCUGAGAAUAACCUUUACAAAUUUUCUGACUCCCACCAAUUACAACAACAAUUAUGGAAAUCAAAUACAGACAAACAUCUCUAGGACAGCUCUGCUGUGAUCAUCCAUAACUACAUUUUUCAUCAGCUCUCUACUUAUAUUUUUGUAUGUUUCUCAUAGAGCUCACAGAUCUAACGUCUCUACCAUUAGCAAUCACAUCAUGCAAGAUAUGAACAGGUUUUUUGUGAGAGGAAAUAAAUGUAUGAGAUGAUGAGUAUGUAAAAUAUGAACAGGUUGUCAUCUUUGGGAGAAAGUAAAUGCUGUCAUAUUCAAGCAUUGAUUAACAAAGUAUACCCUCUUUCUUUUCUCUCUCUUUUCUCUUUUUUCUUUUCUUUUGG